rnacentral:rRNA from 1 species
CCUACGGGGCACAGCAGUGAGGAAUAUUGGUCAAUGGUCGGGAGACUGACCCAGCCAAGCCGCGUGAGGGAGGAAGGUACAGAGUAUCGUAAACCUCUUUUGUCAGGGAACAAAGGCGGGGACGUGUCCCCGGAUGAGUGUACCUGAAGAAAAAGCAUCGGCUAACUCCGUGCCAGCCGCCGCGGGACUAGAGGGGAGGCGAGCGUUAUCCGGAUUUGUUGGGGUUAAAGGGUGCGCAGGCGGUCUGUUAUGUCCGCGGUAAAAGCCCGGGGCUAAACCCCGGCCCGCAGUUGAUACUGGCAGUCUCGAGUUGGAGAGAAGUAUGCGGAAUGCGCGGUGUAGCGGUGAAAUGCAUAGAUAUCGCGCAGAACUCCGAUUGCGAAGGCAGCAUGCCGGCUCCACACUGACGCUGAGGCACGAAAGCGUGGGUAUCGAACAGGAUUAGAUACCCCAGUAGUC